ACAUACUGUCUCCUGCAAUUGAACACUACAGAGUCAACUCAGUUACUUUUUCUCCUCUCAGACUUUUGCAGUGUUUAGUUGCUUCAGGUGGAAAGAUGUUGAGAAUCUUCGUCAAGUUCUUCCUGGUUGCUGUGUUGUGCAUUUGCUGGACCCAUGGACGUGUAGUUGAAGCUCCUCUGAAGAAUGCACUUGACAAUGUUCCAAAGCAGUACAGUGAGUCUCCGCUUUUCUGCUAUCCCGUUGGUGGUUGGACUGAAGUAGAAGGGAUGUGGCAAUGGUGCAUGGAUAAUUGCCUUCACAAUCCUCCAAACUGCCCCGAAAGCCAUUGCAAAUGUUUUGAAAAAUAUUAUUAUGAUGACGAGUAGCAUCUCUCCUCCGGAUGUUACUUUUGCAGUUGCAACAUAAACUGCAAAACGGAUCGGAGAUUUUUGACUACUACCAUUACGCCCAAGCAGACCUUAUGAAGUUAUCCUUAUGUCGAGUGGUUUGAGUUUAUAUUCAUUCUGGAUGUAAUUCUAAAUGGGCAGAAUAUUUCUAAAUAUUUAUGUUUGUUAAAUGGAUUGAAAUGUUAAACUUUUAACUUGUAAUUAAUUCGUAAUGAGCACAAUAUUAUAAAAUUUAUGAAUUUAAGAAUUUGUCAUAAAAUGAUGAUUUAUAAUGUUUUUGAAACGAUGUACAUGGUUUUUUUUAGUGGUUAAUUAUUAUAUUCUUUUGGAUUUUUUUAAUUAUUCAAACAAUGAUUGUUAAUUAAUUAAGACUAAAUGCAGCACAAUU